rnacentral:rRNA from 1 species
UACGGGGGGGGCAAGCGUUGUUCGGAAUCACUGGGCGUAAAGCGCACGCAGGCGGAUUGAUAAGUCAGGGGUGAAAUCCCGGGGCUCAACCUCGGAAUUGCCUUUGAUACUGUCUGUCUUGAGUUCGGGAGAGGUUGGCGGAAUUCCUAGUGUAGAGGUGAAAUUCGUAGAUAUUAGGAAGAACACCAGUGGCGAAGGCGGCUAACUGGCCCGAUACUGACGCUCAGGUGCGAAAGCGUGGGGAGCAAACAGG